AUAAUGACAAGCAAAGUAAAACCUUCCCUUGGAAAAAGAGGAGAGUGGGGAACUUCCCACAGCGGGCCCUGACUUGGAACACGUCCUGAGACCCCUGGUCCUAGUGAGAAUAGAUGCUGUGGAUCUGAGAUAUUAAGUGCCUUUACCUGUAGCCCUGCCGCUGGGAGGAACAAACGCCCUGCAACUUGAUCUCUGAAGGCUGG